rnacentral:rRNA from 3 species
AAAUUGAAGAGUUUGAUCAUGGCUCAGAUUGAACGCUGGCGGCAGGCCUAACACAUGCAAGUCGAACGGUAGCACAGAGAGCUUGCUCUCGGGUGACGAGUGGCGGACGGGUGAGUAAUGUCUGGGAAACUGCCUGAUGGAGGGGGAUAACUACUGGAAACGGUGGCUAAUACCGCAUAACGUCGCAAGACCAAAGAGGGGGACCUUCGGGCCUCUUGCCAUCAGAUGUGCCCA